rnacentral:misc_RNA from 1 species
AGAAAAAAAAAAAAAAAUCCGAGUUGUGGAAUUUUUUAAGAACAUGAUCAAGUUACCUACUUUGAGCUUAUAUACCUCUUUGUAUACUUAUCCAUUGUGAGUUUUGUCUAUACCAUGUUAAACUAGACAUUUCUAGCUUUCUAUAGGUAUAUAGAUUGUUCAUUUUGGAUUUAAUAUAAGAAAGUUAUAGCCUUACAAACUUAGCUAAAAAUUAAACGAAAUCUAGAAUUUUUUGGAACCUAGGAGAUAUUGAAGAAGACCCAUCUUUGUCCUGUUUCAAUCUCAGCUUAGGUAGUUUGUUCUAAAACGUCAACUUAAUGCCCUUAUUUCACAAAAUAGGUAGUCCAAAUUAUUUAAAGCACCUAAAACCCCCCAUUGGAAGAAAUACGAUUGCCGAAAACGCCUGGAGCGCAGUGCGUGGCACACAUGCCCCCAUCGACACGUGUUAAGGAGGGGCCAUGUGCAGCAUGCUAGGCUUGGCGCACUUAGCCUAGGUGCACUGGAAUUGGGGCACCAAGCCCAGGCUUGUGCCUAGCUCAACCCUAAUCCAACCACAUCUUUUUAAAAAAAUAAUAAUAAAAGGUUAAAAUAGGGCAAGGAAAACUAGCUGUUUAGCUUACCUGCUCCUCCCAGUUAGUUCUUGAGGUGAUAUAGCCAAGUGUUAUUACUUGCAUUAUUUCUCCAAGUAUCAUUCCAAUCCAAAUUCCCUGUAAAAAGAAAAAAAAAUGUGAGGCGUAACAAUUCAUUAAACCUAUCAAAUCAUCAUUAAAAAAAAUGUACCAUUUUCACGGUCGGUGGUCAAAAUAGAGACUUAUCCUACAACAGGGAGGGGGAGACUGAAGAAGAAAAGGGGAAGGAGGACACCUUUACUUGCAGAUGAGCUACAAAUCCAAGAAUAACACCUACAGGGACCCCAACAGCGUAAUAGCAACACAUGUUCACAUAUGCAGCCAUACUUUGCCUCCCAGCACCUAUUGCUGCCCCUGCAAUAAUGGAUGUGCAAGUUCAUAAAUACAGGACACUGGGUUAGUGAUUUUUCUUAGAAAGAUCUUGAAAUGCUUGCCUGAGAAAACUGCCUGAAAGCUGUUGAGUAGAAUGGAGAAAGCAAGUAGGAUUGAGAGGCUUGACACAUAUUCUGCUAUUGCCUUUUCACUUGUGAACAAGUACGCGAUUUUGUGGCCAAGUGAUAAACACAAAAUCCAAAAAAACACUCCAAUUGAAACUGAAGUACCCACGUUAACUUUAAUAGCAAAUUUCGCUGCUUUGGCUUCUCCUCUGCCUAAUUCAUUUGCAACCCUCACGCUGGUGGCAGACAGGAAGCCCAUACAUAGCAUAAAAUCCCAAUCUGUAACGUUGAUGCAAAUGGAGAAAGCAGAUAUUGCAGUUUUGGCAUUUUUCAUGUAUCCAGCCAGCAAGACUAAGAUAGAAUAGUACCAUAACUCCAAGCAGAGCAUCACACCUGAGGAUAUCGAAAGCUUUAACGAGGGUAAUAAAUCAGAGAAGGCAGCUAGAGUGAAACCUUUCCAAGUUUCGGGACACCAGCCCCCAAAUAUAUAUACAAAGUCUCCAAUCACAACAAACCAACUUGAUAUAAUAAUAGAACUCAUUGCACCAGGAAUCCCCAGGUUCAGUUUAACCACAAAGAUCCAUGACAGGAGCAAAUGAAGCACAAAUGAAAUAGCAGAAAGCCACCCAACAAUCAUGUUUUUGAGCUGAGUCCGCAAGAACUUUUGGAUGGUCUGAUUAAAUACCAAAUUAUAUAGAUAUGGAAUGAACCAUGGUGACAUCUCCCCAGCUUUGUUAGCUAUGUCUUCUUUCUCCCCGAGUAGCUUGAAGAUUCGCGAUGAGAAGAUAAACACAGGAAGCAUGACUGUUGCUGUAGAAAAAUUGAUGAUCCAUGAUCGCUGCAAGUAGAUACCCAUCAUGUGGUAUUGCUUUGCUCCAAAAGCUUGACCGCACAAAGUCUCCGUUGCACUCGACGUGCCUGCCAGCGUUCCUUGAACGAAUGGCAUAGCGAUGAUUUGCAUAAUUGAAUAAGCUGCAAGUUCUAAUUCUCCAAUAUGUCCAAUAAAAGCCUGUGUUACUACAAGGAUUCCAAAUUGAGUAAUCUUUGCUAAUAUAGAAGGAAAUGCAAUCCUCCAUAGCUUCUUUGAUUCUAUCCAGACCCUGCAUUUCAAAUCACAACUAGUUUUUUCUUCUUUGCCUGGAGGCUUCUCUAUUUCCAUUUUGCAUUCCAUCAAUUAUUCUACUGUAAUAAUCCUGCAAGAACACAAGAAAUUUCUAUGACAUUUGGUUGUUCACAAGUUAGCUUUGACAGUCACUUUUAUAUAUUGUUCAUCACACUAGCUGACAAUGGCAAAAGC